CUCCAGAAACGCCCAUGUGUGGAGGAAAUGAAAUUAAGGCUUUUAAUAGAGCCAGCCAUCCUUCUCCUCGGGGAUGAGCAGCGUGAUGACAUCUCCCUGUGCAAAGCUGAGUAAGGUCUUGUUGGAGCCCGCAGUGUGCGGGAAGAUGGUCUUCACUUUCUGCUUCUUCAUCAUGUUCAGUCCCGUUGCAACCGAAACUGAUCGCUGUAAACUGGGAUCUUCGGAAGUACCUGUUGGAGGGAGUGUAGCAGUAAUGGCUU
rnacentral:lncRNA from 1 species